GGGGGUGUAGCUCAGUGGUAGAGCGUUCGCUUCGCAUGUGAAGGCCGAGGGGUUCAAAUCCCCGCACCUCCA